UCCCAGGUAGCUUAGCUGGUAAAGAAUCUGCCUGCAAUGCAGAAGACCCCAGUUUGAUUUCUGGGUUGGGAG
rnacentral:tRNA from 1 species